GUUGGGUAGGGGAGCGUUCUGUAAGCCUGCGAAGGUGGCCUGUGAGGGUUGCUGGAGGUAUCAGAAGUGCGAAUGCUGACAUAAGUAACGAUAAUGCGGGUGAAAAACCCGCACGCCGGAAGACCAAGGGUUCCUGUCCAACGUUAAUCGGGGCAGGGUGAGUCGACCCCUAAGGCGAGGCCGAAAGGCGUAGUCGAUGGGAAACAGGUUAAUAUUCCUGUACCUGGUGUUACUGCGAAGGGGGGACGGAGAAGGCUAUGUUGGCCGGGCGACGGUUGUCCCGGUUUAAGCGUG
rnacentral:rRNA from 1 species